UCUGACUUGGUUUAUAUUAAAAACUGUUCUGCACACAGUUCUUACAUCAGUAGGAGCUGGUGUGAUUGUAUUUAAUAUCUGGAAAGCUGUUCCACGUUUCCAGCUGUAUAACUGGAUUUUGCCCCAUGUGUGGAAAUAGUGUACCUGGUACUGCGUAUUCUCUCAGAGAUUUUGUGAUCUACUCACAAAAGCAAGUGAAGAGCAACUACAGAAAGGAGCAAUAAGUCUCAGAAGAUUUG
rnacentral:lncRNA from 1 species